rnacentral:rRNA from 1 species
ACUCCUACCCAUGUGACGUUACCAAACUGUUGCCUCGGCGGGAACUCAUGCCCCNGGUGNGUCGCAGCCCCGGACCAAGGCGCCCGCCGGAGGACCAACCAAAACUCUUUUUGUAUACCCCCUCGCGGGUUUUUUAUAAUCUGAGCCUUCUCGGCGCCUCUCGUAGGCGUUUCGAAAAUGAAUCAAAACUUUCAACAACGGAUCUCUUGGUUCUGGCAUCGAUGAAGAACGCAGCGAAAUGCGAUAAGUAAUGUGAAUUGCAGAAUUCAGUGAAUCAUCGAAUCUUUGAACGCACAUUGCGCCCGCCAGUAUUCUGGCGGGCAUGCCUGUCCGAGCGUCAUUUCAACCCUCGAACCCCUCCGGGGGGUCGGCGUUGGGGAUCGGCCUUCCUUCACGGGGGCCGUCUCCGAAAUACAGUGGCGGUCUCGCCGCAGCCUCUCCUGCGCAGUAGUUUGCACACUCGCAUCGGGAGCGCGGCGCG